rnacentral:lncRNA from 1 species
CACCGCCGACGCCGCCGCCAUUUUAAUAGGGCGCUCGGGCUGCGCUCGGCUCUUUCCGCCCGUGCGAAGGAGCCGACGAGAAGCGCCUCGCGCUCUCAUUACUCCGCCUCCCCCCCCUUCUCCCGCCCUCCCACCGCACACACGCCGCACGCUCCACACCCCGCCGUGGCCGCUCGCCGCCCUCCCUUUCCUCUUCCGUCCGGCCUCCCCGCCCUCGGUCCACCCCCUCCGCGCGCUCGCCCACCCCUCCCAGCCCGGAUCUCUGUCAGCGGCCGGAAGGGAAACGCGAAGCCAGCGCGGCCGCGGGGGGAGUCCGGGUGAGUAAGCGAAGAUGGCGGAGGCGCCUAGCGGGUCGCGUUUGCGCGGCGUCGCCCACCGCGGCUCACGCCGCGGGCUGCAAGGCCUGACGAGCGCGGGGUCACUCGUGCCAUCCUGACCCCCCGCCCCUGCGCUUCGCCAUUUUUCCUCCCAGCCCAAGAAGGGAAGUUAAUGAAGGUUUCGGCCUGCGUUUAGUGCGAGGAAAGUAGGGGGUCAACAAGGGUGCUAGGCCAAGGCGACAGGGCAGGCCAGGUUCCGGCACACGGCCCUCUCCCCACGGGGUUCAGUGAAAAUGGAACAUCCCAGGGCCCGCCUUAACCUGCAUCCCCGUUUAUUGCUACCUUGCAAUUUGAGGCCCAUCUGUCUCUGGCAAUAAGACAAGUUGACGGUACUAGAAAUGGCGGGUACAGUGUUCGCAUGGCAUCUCGUUUUAACGCAAGGAGGCCGCUCGCUCACAAUAUGCCUGUCCACUCUGUACCUGCAAGAGUACAGAGCUGAGUGCAAUAGCAAGGGCUAUUAAGACGAUCGAGGAGUGAAGGGGAAGGGGACCCUCAGCUGAAGUUUAGUAUUGUGUUAACUAGUUUGGAAAAUUUUCCUUGCACCUGCUAAAGAACGCCUUAGAAAAAUAGAAAAAGUAUGUGUGGAUAAAAAAUAAAAAAUUAAGAAGGAAGCCUCGGUAGUAAUUUUUUAUGGGUUUUGUCGAGAUUACGUCACACAAUUUCUCCAUACACAGACCACCUUGCCCAUUAUGCCAUGCCUUUCUGUCGGUGUCAUAAAGUUUGUACCCUACUGGUUUUUAAGUUUCCUUAGAAGCUGUAGGGCUAUUUUGCAUACAUAAUCUUCCUUGCUUACCCUCCAAACUUGGGUUUCUGCAUCCAGUAUUGUCC